rnacentral:rRNA from 1 species
CAGUCGCCGCGGUAAUACGAAGGGUGCAAGCGUUAAUCGGAAUUACUGGGCGUAAAGCGUGCGCAGGCGGUUUGUUAAGUCUGUUGUGAAAUCCCCGGGCUCAACCUGGGAAUGGCAAUGGAUACUGGCAAGCUAGAGUGUGUCAGAGGAUGGUGGAAUUCCCGGUGUAGCGGUGAAAUGCGUAGAGAUCGGGAGGAACAUCAGUGGCGAAGGCGGCCAUCUGGGACAACACUGACGCUGAGGCACGAAAGCGUGGGGAGCAAACAGGAUUAGAUACCCGAGUAGUCCCUGUCUCUUAUAC